rnacentral:rRNA from 1 species
AUCGGCGUGGUUAGCAGAACGAGCUGGAAAGCUCAGCCGGAGACUGUGAUAGCCAGGUAUGCGAAAACGACGCUGACCUUAUUCUGUAUUCUCGAGUAGGUCGGGGCACGAGAAACCCUGAUUGAAUCCGGCUGGACCACCAGCCAAGGCUAAAUAUAGUAUAUGAUCGAUAGUGAACUAGUACGGUGACGGAAAGGUGAAAAGAACCCCGGGAGGGGAGUGAAAUAGAACCUGAAAUUUUGUGCCUACAAGGAGUCGGAGCCCAGCACCUUUGAAAUCGAGUGGUACAAUGUAGACAGAUGUUCUACGUGUACGUUUUGCAAAGUGAUCGGGAAUCAGAUCAAAUUUACUUCGGUCAGACUAGUGACUUAAGACGACGUCUCUCGGAACAUAAUUCCGGUAAGGAUACUUAUACCAAGAUAUAUGCGCCAUGGAGGGUUGUCUAUUAUGAAGCCUAUUCAUCACGUAAGCUGGCAUUAGCCCGUGAGAGGCAGUUGAAAGCUUAUGGACAAGCCAGGACUGCUCUGAAGAAGAGACUAAAUUUGAUCUGAUACUCGAUUUCAAAGGUGCUGGGUGACGGCGUGCUUUUUGUAGAACGAUCCAGCGAGUUAAUUUUUACGGCGAGGUUAAGUCAGAUGACGAAGCCACAGUGAAAGCGAGCAUUAACAGUGCGAUUUAGUCGUAAGGAUUAGACCCGAAACCGGGUGACCUAACCAUGAGCAGGUUGAAGCAACCUUAAUCGGUUGUGGAGGACCGAACCAGUGUAUAUUGCAAAAUGCUUGGAUGACUUGUGGUUAGCGGUGAAAUGCCAAUCGAACUUGGAGAUAGCUGGUUCUCCGCGAAAUAGUUAUAGGACUAGCGUCGUGUGAUAGCUUACGGGGGUAGAGCUCUGUCAAGAGAUAGGGGGAGCAAUCCUACCUACUCUUAAUAAACUACGAAUACCGUAUGUCUGUAUCACGGCAGUUAGAACGUCGGUGCUAAGAUCGGCGCUCAAAAGGGAAACAGCCCAGACCAUCAUCUAAGGUCCCCAAAUUUACGCUAAGUGGGAAACAAGGUGGAAUUUCUUAAACAGCUAGGAUGUUGGCUUAGAAGCAGCCAUUCAUUUAAAGAGUGCGUAACAGCUCACUAGUCAAGAGAUUUUGCGUGGAAAAUGUAACGGGGCUAAAGUGUUAAACCGAAGACAUGGACUUCUGCUUAUGCAGGAGUGGUAGAGGAGCGUUGAUAUCGCAGUGAAGUCAGAUUGUAAAGUCUGGUGGAGCGUUAUCAAGUGAGAAUGCUGGAAUCAGUAACCUUAAGACAGGUGAGAAUCCUGUCGGUCGUAAGAGCAAGGUUUCCAGGGCCACAGUAAUUGUCCCUGGGUUAGUCGGUCCUAAGCCGAGGCGUAUCAGCGUAGGCGAUGGACAACAGGUUAAUAUUCCUGUACAGGUAGUAGUUGUGAACAGUUCACGGUGAAUGACCGGAGCGGAUUAAUGGUUUAUCCGUCCAAGUCUCUAGGGAACUAGAGAUGAGUGAAAGGUAAUCUUCGGAUUAUUAAUUUCGGGUGAAGCACUGGCUAGAAAAGCUGGUUCACUUAUGCUUCUGCCUACCGUACCGCAAACCAACACCGGUGCUCGGGUCGAGUAGACCAAGACCUACGUGAGAACCUUCGCUAAGGAACUCGGCAAAAAAGCGUCCGUAACUUCGGAAUAAGGACUGCCCUCUCAUUAAGAUGAGGAUUUGCUAGAAACUCAGCAGAAGAUUCAGCUAAUAAUGUUUGGUUAUUUAAAAUUAUAUUUUUGAGACCAUAAGCACGGGCGAGCGCCCUUGAGCGUGUCGAAAAAAUGUAAUUAAAUAUUUACCUUAAUACUGAAUUUUUUCGUUGAGACAGAACACAAAUCAGGAUUUGUUUUAGCAAAUUCGUGUCUUUUCUAGUAGUCUAAUCGUCAUUUUGAUGAGAGGGCCGCAGCUAAAGAGCCCACGGAACUGUUUACCAAAAACAUAGGUCUCUGCUAACGCGAAAGCGGAUGUAUAGGGGCUGACUCCUGCCCGGUGUCGGAAGGUUAAGGGGAGAGCUUUACGGUUCGAACUGAAGCCCCGAUGAACGGCGGCGAUAACUAUGAUCGUCCUAAGGUAGCGAAAUUCCUUGUCUGGUAAGUUCAGACCCGCACGAAUGGAGUAAUCAUGUGGGCACUGUCUCGGCGAAGGCCACGGUGAACGUGCAUUGGCGGUAAAGAUGCCGUCUGAUCAUGCCAGGACGAGAAGACCCCAUGGAGCUUUACUACAACUUUGCAUUGAUUAUUGGGACAUUUUGUGUAGAAUAGGUGGAAGACUUUGAAGCAGAUACGCUAGUAUUUGUGGAGUCGAAAUGUGAAAUACCACCCUGAAUGUUUUAGUAAUCUCACUUUUGACCUUAUCGGCCAAGAGGACCGUGCAUGGCGGGUAGUUUAACUGGGGCGGUUGCCUCCUAAAGAGUAGCGGAGGCGUUCA